UUCAGAACAAGAGCCUUGCUUAUGCAGUUAAGGAGUGUACUCUGAUAGUCUCAUCAAUGAACUAUUUCUCUGGCUUUUGGAUGAUAGGCUUCCGGAGAUGGAUGAUGGACGUCAAAUUUUAACUGCUUUGAAUGUUCUGAUGUUAAAGAUUCUGGAUAACGCAUAAUAUACGUCAUCAUUUCCUGUGUCUAUAAAUAUGUUAAGACCUCUGGAUCCAUCAAGAUGUCCAUCUUCAGAUCAGAAACCUAAAACCUAAAGUUCUCUGAUUUGGUUUUUAACUGUUUGAUCAUGCUCUAAAGGAAUCUGCAACUCCAAAGAAGGUUGUUAAAGUAACUUAACUGGUGGCAUAGAUGGACUUCCACGUGAAGAUAUAAGUGAAAAGGUCACCCCCACUUUGUUAAAAGGCUUAUAGAGUUCUGAUUGGAAGGUCCACUUGGAAUCUAUUGAAAAUGUAACCAAAAUUCUGGAAGAGGAGAACUGGAAUUGGAAAUCUAUUUGGAGCUCUAUAAGGGCGUCUACACGACAGUUCUAAAAUUUGAUAAUUGCUACUUUGUCCACAGUUGGUGCUCUUCGGACUACAAUGGGACAUCCGGUUGAGAAGUCAAGCUAGGGGAUUUUUUCAGAUUUUUCAAAUGUCUUGAAAAGCCUUGGUGACAACAAAAAGCAUAUGCAUGAGUGUACAUUGAGUACCUUAGAUAAUUGGCUUGAGUGUACAUCUGGCCAAUGUUGUCAAGUCUCCACGUAGCCAAAGGUCGAGGUUCUAGGUUUUGUGUGAACCGCAAUUUAUGUGCAUCACUGAUUCUGACCAACCAUCUUAAGCUUUAAUGAAUUGAAGCUGCCUUUGUAAAUGCACCUCAGGACCUUAUCGAUCCAGUUGAUAUAUUAAAGCCUUUGGAGAAGUCUGGAUUUUGGGAAGCGGUGAAAGCUUCAAAAUGGUGUGAGAGGAAAGUGGCUGUUGCUGAACUAACCAAACAUGCAUCCACCAAAAAGAAUGCUCCUGUGGAUAUUUUCAGAAAGUUAUCUAACAUUGAAGAAAGUUGUCACAAUUGUAAACAUUUUUGAAGGAAGAAAAAAAAAAGAAAAAACAUUGCUGUUGCAGCUGAAGCUAUUCAAGCACUAGGCAAUCUUGCUAAGGGCCUGAUAACCCUUCCUAAAAAAAGGAAAGAAAAGGAUAAAAAAGGAAAAAGGAAAAACAAAAAUUGAAGAAAAAAAGGAAAAAAGGGAAAAAAAGGAAAAAAUUGUUGUUGCAUAUAAAGCUAUUCAAGAACUGGGCAACUUUGCUAGGGAUCCGAGAGCCAUUUUUUCGGCCAGUUGUUGCAUCUUAUUGCCUGUAAACCGGGUUGUGAAGACUUUUGACUUCCGCCUCACUGGUGCCUUUCAAGAUCUUGUAAAUAUGUCCCGAAUACUAUGAUAUAGACUUUUCAGAACAAGAGGCUUGCUUAUGCAUUUAAGGAGAGUCCUCUGAUAGUCUCAUCAUGGAACUGUUACUCUGGCUUUUGGAUGACAGGGUUCCGGAGAUGGAUGAUGGAAGUCAAAUUUUAACAGCUUUGAAUGUUUUGAUGUUAAAGCUUCUGGAUAACACAGAACGUACGUCAUCAAUUCUUGUGCUUAUAAAUCUAUUAGGACCUCUGGAUCCAUCAAGACGUCCAUCUUCAGCAUCAAAUGAUUCUCUUGCGAUUAGAAACCCAUAAACCUGAAGUUCUCUUAUUUGGUUGUUAAAAUGUUUGAUCAAGCUCCAAAGGCAUCUGCAGCUCCAAAGAAGGUUGUUAAAGUAACUUGUUCUACAUCAUCUGUGGUGACUGGUGGCAUGGAUGGACUUCCACGUGAAGAUACUGUUUAAAAGAUCACCCCCACUUUGUUAAAAGGCUUAGUCCACUUGGAAUCUAUUAAAAAUGUAACCCAAUUCUGGAAGAGGUGAACUGGAACUGGAGAUCUAUUUGGAGCUCUGAAAGGGCGUCUACACGAUAGUAACAAAAAUUUGAUAAUUGCUACUUUGUCCACAAUUGGUGCUCUUGGGACCACAAUGGGACAGCAGAAAUUAAGCUAGGACAUUCUUUCAGAUGUUUUGAAAUGCCUUGGCGACAACAGAAAGCAUAUGCGUGAGUUUACAUUGAGUACCUUAGACACAUGGCCUUGUGCUGCCCAUCCCGAUAAAAUGCUAUUCUCACAGGCUAAAGUAGGCGCAGAGGGGCGCAAUUUGAUUGGCUAUCAAGACAACUUGCUGGAUUAGCUGAGUUUCAUGAUGCAAUCAAGCUAAUCGAACCCACUACAUCUGCUAUUACGGAUAAAUCAACGAAUGUUCGUAAAGAGGCUGAAGCAUGAUUUAAUGAAAUAUUGAGGGUUUGUGAACAUGAAACGAAUAAUUAUGAAUCUGGAGAAUUUGUUUCGUCAAGCAUCACGUUGGAAAGCAGCCUAAAGACAGCAAAACCAAAUGGAAUUGGCGACCGCGAAUCUCAACAUGGAAGCAGAAAUGCACCUUCAGUAUGUUUUUUGUGGUUAAUAUAUUUCUUCUAAACCGUAAUGUAUUUGUUAAUUGAUGUCCUGUUUAUUUAGAGAGUUGUGCCUAACAUGGGAUUCAGGCAAGAAUCUAUCUUGUCUUUUCAAGACAUCAACAUUCAGUCACAACAAGGUUGGUUCACAUUUAUUUUUUCGGGCAACAAAGUGCAAUUAUUUUGAUAACUCUGGACACAAUGCUGUAGCUUUUAAGGCCGCAUAGUAGAUUAUUGACUUAGUGUUACUCUCGCAUGAUGACAGAGAAAGAAUUAUUGUUCGCAGAUUCAAAUUAGAUGAAUCGCGUGUAGAGGAAAUUCAAGAUCUUGAGGUUUCUGCUCUCUUUUAAGAUUUUAUUUAUUAAUUUUAUGAGAUUAGAUUUUCCAUACCACAGAGGAGGUCUUCAUACAAGUUUUUCAAAUUUUUAUCAGCUUUUGGGUUUGGGUAAAUAGUAGCAGACCAUCGGUGUUGACUUGUUUUAGCAUUUGUAUGGCUUAUGUAAUAUUUAUGUAUGUGAUGAUAUGCUACAUUCUUUAUAGAUUUUUAGUAAGGGACUAUGCUUACUUCAAAAAGAAUGAUGACAUGAAAUACUUUCGAGAGGAUCUGCAUUGGAGGCUCUUAAGUGCUGACUUCAAAAAUCAAGUUGAUGGCAUUGAGAUGUUGCAAAAGGAUAUUUCAACAUAAAUUCUAGUUUUGAUUAUGUAACUUGCAAUUUUCUUUUACCUUCGAUUUGUUUAUGAUAUACAGGCUCUUCCUCCAUGGGAAGGGAGGUGAUUGAAGUCUUAUAUAUACUCUUAAAGUGGUUUGUGUUGAGGUUUUGUGAAUUCAACACAUAAUGCUUAUUAAAGUACUUGAAUUUCUUCCCGAGCUUUUGGAUCUUUGGGAAAUGAGGGGCUACACUGUUACAGAAGCAGAGACAACCAUCGUUCUUCCUUGCUUGGAUGAGAAGUCUGGACAUAACAUUGAAAAAGUUCGAGAAAAUUGCGGGAACUGAUGAAACAAGUCAUACAAACAUAUUCUGCUCCCAAAUUAUGGUAAAGAUAUAUUUUCUAAUGGAAUGCUUUUUCAAAAGAUUAGGGAUGAAAGUUGUGUGCCAUGAAUUGGCUUAAGCAACUGCUGACCCCAAGGGCAGCACAAUGGAAGAAAUACAGAAUGAUGCUGAUUAACUAGUUUCAUGCCCGACUUUUUAGAACAAGAGGCUUGCUUAUGGAGAUAAGGAGAGUACUAGUCUCAUCUUACACGAAACUGUUGCUAUGGCUUUUGGAUGAUAGGGUUCCACGGAUGGAUGAUGGAACUCAACUUUUGAGAGCUUUUAAUGCUCUGAUGUUAAAUUUUCUGGUGCAGGAUAAUGCAUAGCAUAAUUCAUCAUUUGUUGUGCUUAUAAAUCUUUUAAGACCUUUGGAUCCAUUAAGAUGGCCUUCUCCAGCAUCAAAUGAGUCUCUAGCAAUCAGAAACCAGAAAUUCUGCGAUUUGGUUGUUUAAUGUUUGAUCAAGCUCACAAAUGUAUUAUAUCUUGAUCUGUUUUAUCUUGUUUAUUUUUUCUUUUAAUUAUGUAUUGUUCUUAUAUUAUUGAUGUAGUGAAUCUUCCUUCUGUAAGAAUGUUAUGUUGCAUAGUUUGACGACAUUGUUUGAAAGCAUUUGCAUAGUCUUACUUAAUUGAUUGAUAGUUGUUUUAACUUUUGGAGAUCUAUGUAGGUGCUUCACUCUUAGUUUUUGUAUGCCCCCCCCCCCAAAUUUAUGGUUUUGCAUCGUGGGUUCAUUGUAGCCCACUUUUUUUGUAAGUCAAUUGGUGUCUUUUGAUCAUUUUUCAAUAUAAUUUUAUCCUUCCUUUGUAUUUCUUGAGGAGUUAUUUUUUGGUUAGUUAAUAUGCUCCUGUUUAUGAAAUUGUUUGUUUUUCUAUUUUCUGGUUAGUUAAUAUACUUAAAUAUUUUAUAGAUUUAGCAACUUAAGUACAUGGUAAUGUUGUCUUAGUUAAUAUUUGUCCAUUAUUUACAAGUUUAUGGAGUCAAGAAAUCUGCUUGUUUUGAAUUUUUCUUUUGCUUUCAAGAUAAAUCUUUAUCCAUUCCUUUGCCAUUGUUUGAAGCGAAAUAGUUUCUAAGUAGUAGAUUAAUCCUCAUAUCAUGCCUUUUUAUUUUUAUUUUUAUUUUUCUUGAUAUUCUCUUUGCUUCAUCUGGUGAAUAUUUAUAUACUCCUUUAUUUAUUGGUCUUUUCUAAAAAUGCUAGAUAUUACUAUUAUAUACAUGUUGUCUUUGGUUCUUUGAUGUUAGAGUAUUGCGCUUACUGUGAUUCUUUUGUAUGAAUUGCAUUGGCAGAUGGGGCUGCUUUUUCAAAAUUGUUAUCUUGCUACUAUGUUUUUUGUUUCAGCUAUUGUGUCUUUAAAGACCAGAUUGAAUAACAAACGAAUUUGGAUCCAUCUGUUGAGAUGUUGAUCCUUUUACUGUGUUAUUCCUGGCUGGAAUGAGAAAAAUGUUCAGGUGUUGCAUCCAGGAAUUAACUGCAUUUGGUGAACAGGAAUUUACCAUUUUUUGCUUUUCUUGAAGAUAUAAAGGUAUUUCUGCAUUAAACCUGCUUUACUACGGGGUAAAUUCUUUUUGGUGUAAAACUGUCAGUUUUCCCAAUAUAAGUUUGUUCUUCAAUUCAAAUUUACAAAUAUUACUCUUUGCAGGCAUCUGCACUCCAAAGAAGGUUGUUAAAGUAACUUAUUCUACAUCAUCUGCGGUGACUGGUGGCAUGGAUUGUCUUCCAUGUGAAGAUAUCAGUGAAAAGAUCACCCCCACUUUCUUUUAGAGAGUUCUGAUUGGAAGGUCCGCUUGGAAUCUAUUGAAAGUGUGACCAAAAUUCUGGAAGAGGUGAGCAAACGUGUUCUGCUGGCUGGAACUGGUACGUCAGUCGAAAAUUUGAAAAAACUAGUCUCAAAUUUUGUAUAUGGAGUACAUAAUUAUCUACAUGACGUGCCCUCUUUUCUUUCUUGUUUUAGGAGAUCUAUUUGAAGCUAUAAAAGGGCGUCUACACGACACAAACGAAAAUUUGAUUAUUGCUACUUUAUCCACAAUUGGUGCUCUCUUAUACUAUUAGUUAUUGGUUUAUUAAGAGUCUCUUGCGCUAACUAACUGAGAUUCACAAUCCCAAUAUUAUAAAUACUUGGGAUCAUUUAACAAAUCCCGAAUUCCUCAAAGCCAAUAGCUGUACAUAUGCGUGAGUGGUCAUUGAGUACCUUAGAUACUUGGCUCUGCUCAUCCCAAUAAAAUGCUGUUCUCACAUACGCUAGGAUAAAUCAGCAAAUGUUCGUAAAGCGGCUGAAGCAUACUUUAAUGUAUUGAGGGUUUGUGGACAAGAAACGGUAUCCAAGAAUUUGAGAGAUAUACAAGGUUCUGCUUUAGCUAUUAUUAGCAAACAACUGAAGCCAUAUCGAGCUUUUCAAGAUAAUUAUGAAUCUGGUGGAUAUGUUUUGUUAAGCAUCACGGCAGAAAGCAUCCUAAAGACAGCAAAACCAAAUGGUCAUGGUGACCGCGAAUCUUGGCAUGGAAGUAGAAAUGCACCUUCAGAGUUGGCACCUAACAAGGGAUUCAUGCAAGAAUCCAUCUUGUCUGUUCAAGACAUCGAUAUUCAGUCAUGAGUUUUGAUCAGCAAGGAUGACAGGGAAAUGAUUAUUGUUUGCAGAUUCAAAUUCGAAGAAUUGCAUAUAGAGCACAUUCAAGAUCUUUCGUUUUGAGGUUUCGUUUCUCUUUUAAGAUUUCUUUAUUAAUUUUGUGGGAUUAGCUUUUCUAUACCACAGAGGAGGCCUUCAUACAACUUUUUAGAACUUUUUUCAGCUUUUGGGUUUGGUUAAAUUGUUAGACCAUUAGUGUUAUACUUGUUUUGGCAUCUGUGUGGCUUAUAUAAUUUUUUUGCAUGUGAUCAUAUAACAUUCUUUAUAGAUGUUAGUAAGUGACUUUGCUUACUUCUCAAACAUUAUGAUAUCAAAUUGAUGGCAUUGAGAUGUUGCAGAAGGUUCUUUCAACAUAAAUUCUAGUUUUGAUUGUGUAACUUGA